rnacentral:lncRNA from 1 species
AGUUUACCAUAUGGAUUUCAAGGAUGAGUGACCACCCAGAGCAGAGGACUUACCUUCAAAGGUAUUCCAACAGCUACGAAAGAUCUUCCUACUUCCUGACUUAGAUCAAAGCCUGUAAGAGAUUUACCAAGCCAACACCAGACUUGAGCGAAGUUAAUUAAGUUAUAGGAGCACUAGGUAUAGAAGAACGUGUGACCAAGAUUCCGCACCCAGUAGAAGCCUAAGAAUAGGGCUAGCACAUCCAGUAGAAGAAUGAGAAUGAAACUAGAAUAAUAUAACCCUAGCUACCUU